rnacentral:rRNA from 1 species
AACGUAGGAGGCGAGCGUUAUCCGGAUUUACUGGGCGUAAAGCGCGCGUAGGCGGCUCAGCAAGUUGGGCGUUAAAGCUCCUGGCUCAACUGGGAGAGGUCGUUCGAAACUGCUGGGCUUGAGGUUGGGAGAGGGGUGUGGAAUUCCCGGUGUAGUGGUGGAAUGCGUAGAUAUCGGGAGGAACACCAGUGGCGAAGGCGGCACCCUGGCCCACACCUGACGCUGAUGUGCGAAAGCGUGGGUAG